ensembl:lncRNA
UGAGAUUUUAUUUCUGCGGGAUAAGAAAAGCCAUCUUCCCAGGCUUUUCCAGAACACCUAAUGGUCAUGAGAAAAUGGACAAAGGGUUUAGGUUAAGUUGGUGGAAUGUAGAGAAAAAUUGUGCCCUAUUUAUUGUGGAAUUACAGUACUGUAGUUCCAAGAAGGAUAAUGGAUUUUUAAAAAAUACUGAAGUAUUUCUAUAUUUCAAUAGAUUUUUUUGAGAAUGGCCAGUUGCAAACGGUCCAAAACUGAGCUGGUGAACGCACCGUUCACUUACUAACACCUGUUGUUGAACAGACAUAUAAGUGUUGAGAAAUUCAGCAGUAGAACAUUCACUGCCCUCAUGGAACUCGUACAUUUAAUUGGUGAGAAAAAUAAUUGUGUAGAUUAAUCAGUUGUAAGAAAUAAAGCAGAGAAGGAAGGGCUAUAUCCAGAAGAUUCAGGAGAGGGAAGUUUGCAAGACUAACAAAACCGAAAGAAGAAAGGGGGAUGUCGGGUUAGAAGACUACAUGCAGGCAUACAGGAAUUGGGGAGGUCUUGGGACAGUCUGCCUGGUGAAUUGAAGAAGCUGAGUGAAGAGCGGCCAAGACCACACCAGCGGAAGAUGACCUGGGAAGAACCAAAUCUUCGUUGGCAUUGUUCCGCAUUGAUCUAGGAAUUCCGCCACUCCCCAGUCAUCUGUUACAUCUGUUUCUCCCUGUGUACUGAAUAGAAGAGAUUGAACUCGGGACCUUGCACUUUUGAGGCAGGCGGCGGAACCACUGAGCUAAAUCCCAGGCCCUUCUCAGACUAAUUUUACAAGCCACAUAGUGUCUUUUUAAGAAGAAAAGUCAUAUCAGCAUGCUAUUUGUGAAGUUCUUCAAAUACCAAUGAAUUUGCAGUCCAAGGCCAUGUCCAUCUUAAUUUUGGUGAACAUUUGUCAUGUGCCUGCCCUGUGCAGGUCUUUAAAUGCACAAUAAUCUCAUGGUGUAGUUUCUGGAGAAGAACACUGGGGAUGGAAACCAGGGCUGUCACACUGAACUAUAGCCCCGGCCCUCAGCCUCACCUUUUUUUUUUUUUUUUUGAG